AGAGUUUGAUCCUGGCUCAGAUUGAACGCUGGCGGCAUGCUUUACACAUGCAAGUCGAACGGCAGCACGGGUGCUUGCACCUGGUGGCGAGUGGCGGACGGGUGAGUAAUACAUCGGAACGUAUCUUAAAGUGGGGGAUAACGCAUCGAAAGAUGUGCUAAUACCGCAUAUACUCUGAGGAGGAAAGUAGGGGAUCGAAAGACCUUAUGCUUUUGGAGCGGCCGAUAUCUGAUUAGCUAGUUGGUGAGGUAAAGGCUCACCAAGGCCACGAUCAGUAGCUGGUCUGAGAGGACGACCAGCCACACUGGAACUGAGACACGGUCCAGACUCCUACGGGAGGCAGCAGUGGGGAAUUUUGGACAAUGGGCGAAAGCCUGAUCCAGCAAUGCCGCGUGAGUGAAGAAGGCCUUCGGGUUGUAAAGCUCUUUUGUCAGGGAAGAAACGGUGAAGGCUAAUAUCCUUCGCUAAUGACGGUACCUGAAGAAUAAGCACCGGCUAACUACAUGCCAGCAGCCGCGGUAAUACGUAGGGUGCAAGCGUUAAUCGGAAUUACUGGGCGUAAAGCGUGCGCAGGCGGUUUUGUAAGUCUGACGUGAAAUCCCCGGGCUCAACCUGGGAAUUGCGUUGGAGACUGCAAGGCUAGAAUCUGGCAGAGGGGGGUAGAAUUCCACGUGUAGCAGUGAAAUGCGUAGAGAUGUGGAGGAACACCGAUGGCGAAGGCAGCCCCCUGGGUCAAGAUUGACGCUCAUGCACGAAAGCGUGGGGAGCAAACAGGAUUAGAUACCCUGGUAGUCC
rnacentral:rRNA from 1 species